AACGAACGCUGGCGGCAUGCCUAACACAUGCAAGUCGAACGAUGCCUUCGGGCCUAGUGGCGCACGGGUGCGUAACGCGUGGGAAUCUGCCCUUGGCUUCGGAAUAACAGUUAGAACUGACUGCUAAUACCGGGUGAUGUCCCCCUGUGAGAUCUUGGGGCCCAAAGAAUUAUCGGCCAGGGAUGAGCCCGCGUAGGAGUAGGUAGUUGGUGGGGUAAAGGAGUACCAAGGCGACGAUCCUUAGCUGGUCUGAGAGGAUGAUCAGCCACAGUGGGACUGAGACACGGCCCAGACUGCUACGGGAGGCAGCAGUGGGGAAUAUUGGACAAUGGGGGGAACCCUGAUCGAGCGAUGCCGCGUGGGUGAUGAAGGCCUUAGGGUUGGAAAGCGCUUUUAUCAGGGAUGAUAAUGACAGUACCUGGAGAAUAAGCACCGGCUAACUCCGUG
rnacentral:rRNA from 1 species